rnacentral:snRNA from 1 species
AUCGCUUCUCGGCCUUUUGGCUAAGAUCAAAGUGUAGUAUCUGUUCUUAUCAGCUUAAGGAGGUAGGAUACCUUGUUACAAGGGGAAAUUCAAAUUAGUUGAACCGCAUCAUGUUUUUGUAUUUCGUGUAAUAUGAAGUUUUAACUGCUACAAUCUAAAUUUCGCUUGUCUCUGUCCCUUCAAGUUCAAUUUUUAUCCAG